rnacentral:misc_RNA from 1 species
UUUCCGUAGGUGAACCUGCGGAAGGAUCAUUAAUGUGUUUGGGCCUCACGGCUCUUCAUUCCGACGCUGUGCGCCUUCGGGCUGCACGCUGAGGGAGCAUAUAUCCACCCCUGUGCACACACACGGUGGCGAGCUGGGUAACGGCUCGCCGCUGAUCUUUACACACGUCUAAAAGUCAUUGUAUGUUUAUUUGAGAUAAAAACACAACUUUCAACAACGGAUCUCUUGGCUCUC